rnacentral:tRNA from 2 species
UAGGUUGAUGCUCGCUGGCUUGAGUGGCUAGCUGUUAACUAGUUUUUGUGGGAUCGAGGCCCACCGGCCUUG